UACCAAGUACCGUGAGGGAAAGUUGCAAAGAACUUUGAAGAGAGAGUUCAAGAGGGCGUGAAACCGCUGAGAAGGAAACGGAUAGAGUUGACGAAACACGGCGGCAUUCAUCCGAAUAUUGUACUGUUGCCCAUGUUGUUGGACCUCACUUCCUACGGGGAGUGGCAGCUUCAUUGGUUGCGCUGUAUGGUAGCCGGUGUAUUUGCCGUUGGUAUGCGCCGAGAAAUUCGCUGUGGUGCGCUAAUGCCAAUCAAAGAGGACCAUACUCUUCUGAGUGUGGAAACCUUUGGUGGCUGAGGCGUAUCUAUGGUGGAUGUGCAUCGCAAGUAUGCGCCCGUUAUGGCGCAACGGCUGUUAUGUGGUUGGUGUGGCUAUUGGGCGGUCGCAUGCGACUUGCCUAUAGUUUGCAUUAGCCCAUUGAUGGUGCAGUUGCGUUGGCGCGAUGUUUCGGUGUGAAAGUCGACCACCUAUCCGACCCGUCUUGAAACACGGACCAAGGAGUUUAGCAUAUGCGCGAGUCAUUGGGUGGUAAACCUAAAGGCGUAAUGAAAGUAAAGAUCGCUUCUAGCGGUUGAUAUGGGAUCCGUAUAGUUACGGCUAUGCGGCGCACCAUAGCCCCGUCCCCGUUGCUUGCAAUAGGGCGGAGGUAGAGCGCAUACGCUGAGACCCGAAAGAUGGUGAACUAUGCCUGAGCAGGAUGAAGCCAGAGGAAACUCUGGUGGAAGUCCGAAGCGGUUCUGACGUGCAAAUCGAUCGUCUGACUUGGGUAUAGGGCGAAAG
rnacentral:rRNA from 1 species